GACAGAGGGUGCAAACGUUGCUCGGAAUCACUGGGCGUAAAGGGCGUGUAGGCGGGAAGGGAAGUCAGAUGUGAAAUCCCCAGGCUCAACCUGGGAACUGCAUUUGAAACUCCCUUUCUUGAGUACCGGAGAGGAAAGUGGAAUUCCUGGUGUAGAGGUGAAAUUCGUAGAUAUCAGGAGGAACACCAGUGGCGAAGGCGGCUUUCUGGACGGUAACUGACGCUGAGACGCGAAAGCGUGGGGAGCAAACAGG
rnacentral:rRNA from 1 species